rnacentral:rRNA from 1 species
UACAGAGGUCCCAAGCGUUGUUCGGAUUCAUUGGGCGUAAAGGGUGCGUAGGCGGCGCGGGAAGUCGGGUAUGAAAUCUCGGAGCUUAACUCCGAAACUGCAUUCGAUACUGCCGUGCUUGAGGACUGGAGAGGAGACUGGAAUUUACGGUGUAGCGGUGAAAUGCGUAGAUAUCGUAAGGAAGACCAGUGGCGAAGGCGGGUCUCUGGACAGUUCCUGACGCUGAGGCACGAAGGCCAGGGGAGCAAACGGG